AAUGGAGAGUAUGCGGGGCACAGAUGAUAGAGAGGUAGAGCUUUACCCUUUUUUGCAGCAGUAAUUCUCGCUUAACUUUCCAUUCUUCUUCAGCUAUUACCUCCAAACAAAGUGAAGUUAAGUUAAGUUUCUAUCACGUCUUUAAAGUGCUGUAACAAUUUAAUUCAGGAAGAGUAACUCAGAACAGAUACCUGGUGACUUGGCUGGUUUUGUGGCUGCGCUCUGGACUGUAAUCCCUCUUGCAAAGUUCAGUUGUGAUUUUUGAGAAGUGGGUUUGUAUGAUCUC
rnacentral:lncRNA from 1 species